rnacentral:miRNA from 1 species
CCAUUGAUCUCUCCACUUUUCA